CCGGCAGUGCUUCAGGGCCUCGGACCAGCUCAGCUCCUCCUCCACUCUCAAGAAGGACCUGUCGUUGCUCAGCAGCUGCAAGGCUGGGGCAGGAGAGGUUGUCACCACGUAGCUGCCCCCUCCCCCUUCCCCAAAGACCUUUCAGUCACAGCACAGGCAGACUCCCCAGCUUUUUCUCUCCCAACCUUCCCCACUGGCCCUCCAGUUGCACAAAGCUCUGCCCCUGGGCCUUUGCACAAGCUGUUCUCUUGUCCUGAAAGGACUAACCACCCCUGCCUGCUCCCUGAAGCCCCUAUUUUCCCAUUCCCUCAUCACCCCCUUCCCUUUACCCAGCUAACUCCCCACUCCUCUGUCCCAUCCUGGGUAGGCCCCCUUCCCACCUGCUGCCACACACCUGUGUUAGUGCUUAGUAACCAUAGACCACAUACUGAACACUCCUGAUGAGCCAUUAGCUCAUGGAGUCCUCCCAACAGCUCCUGAAGAUCGAUAUCACUAUGCCUGUCUUCCAAAGGAAGGAACCAAGUCAGAGAGUCAGAUGACUUGUCCAAGGCAGUGGAAAGGCAUAGAGACAGGACCCAAGGACCGUGACUGGGUGUUCCAGGUCCAGACCUUUAACCAUAGCACAGCACUGCCACAGGCUUGGAACCGGGGCUGUGCAUCAGAAUCCCCUGGGAGCUUUCAAAGACACUGAGUCGCAACUACUCCACAGCAAGGAUCUGAAUUUGCUGGGACCAGCAUGAAAAUUCUUUAAACCCCCUCAGGGAAAGGACCAUUUAGCUUAUCUGUCUCCACCAGCAGGUCCAGGCAACUCAGGAGCAAAGAACAAGCCUUGUUUAUUCAUCAGUGUACUCCCAGGGCCCAGCACAUCAGAAGGGCUCAGUGUGAUGAGAAUGAAUGAAUGAAAGAGCUAAUGAACAAAUCAAAUUUCUCCCCGGAACCACCCCCAAGAUCUCAGUGUUUGCUUGCUUCCUUCCUGACUCCAGGCUCUUGGCGGGGGGCGGUGGUGGGGUGUCCCAGCAAACAGAGGCCAGUCAUGGCUACUGUGCUCGCCCAGGGCCUGCCUGUGCAUGGGGCAGAGAGGAGCGGGACCUCUUGGGGACUCUAGGCUGUAAGGAACUGGCCUCAAGCCGGAUGUCCUAGGAGAGCAAAGCAAGCCUGAAGAACCCGGCGUACAGAGGGGCAAGAGCUUGCACAGCGCGGGGAGGACAGCGGACAGGACCCAGGAGGACUUGCCAGGGGGAUCGAAGCUGCUCACACCCACCAGAGUCCAAGAUGCUGCCUGUCACCGAGAAAAGUUGGAGGAUCCCUGUACCAGAGAAAGGGAAUCAGAAAAAAAUUACUUUCUUAUGAGCCGGGCUGUGAGGUGCUAGAGAUGCGGCUGGGGCCGGAAUAAAGCCGGAAAGAAUGCUGUCCCCCUGCAAGUUACAGGGAGCAGACAGAAGGGUAAACAGCCC